rnacentral:rRNA from 1 species
UACGUAGGGUGCAAGCGUUGUCCGGAAUUAUUGGGCGUAAAGAGCUCGUAGGCGGUCUGUCGCGUCUGCUGUGAAAACCUAGGGCUUAACUCUGGGCGUGCAGUGGGUACGGGCAGGCUAGAGUGCGGUAGGGGGAGACUGGAAUUCCUGGUGUAGCGGUGAAAUGCGCAGAUAUCAGGAGGAACACCGAUGGCGAAGGCAGGUCUCUGGGCAUUAACUGACGCUGAGGAGCGAAAGCAUGGGGAGCGAACAGG